rnacentral:lncRNA from 1 species
GAGACCCUACACUGUGGGAUGAGCCCACAAGUUUCAAGCCUGAGAGAUUUGAAUCUGCAGGCAGAGUUGAUGCAUGCAAGUUCAUCCCCUUUGGGAUGGGAAGGAGAGCUUGUCCUGGAGAUGGCCUAGCAAAAAGAGUAAUGAUAUUAACUUUGGGAUCGUUGAUACAGUGCUUUGAGUGGAAUAGAGUUGGUGAAAGCAAGAUUGACAUGGCAGAGAAGACAGCACUGACCAUGUUCAAAGUUGAGCCCUUAGAGCUCAUGUGUAGAGCUCGCCCGAUUCUAGACAUGCUUCUCUUGUAGGUGAUCAAAAAAUAUAAGAUUGUCAAGAGUGCUGGCAAUAUUAUAUGGAUGUUUUUAUUUUCAAAAAAUAAUAAUA